AAUCAUCAAUCAAUAAUGGAAUUAUAUUAUAUCAUAUCAUCAACAUGGCUAUAAACACACCGCCAGCAAAUAAAUUGUCAAAAUAGAUAAUAAUUAGCAACAUAAACACAAACACAAACACAUGAUGAUGAUGAUGGAUUGACAAAUCACGUGUUUCAACAACAACAACAACAACAAUAAUCGUAGUUGAUGGAUCGUUAUUGGAUCAGAUAUUUUUUUUUUCUUUGUGAAAACAUUCAUCGAUUUUUUUCUGGGGGGGGGAGGAGGUGGAUUAUUAUUAACAUGUGUAUGUAUUAUUCAUCGUCAAUACAAAUAAUACAGAAUCGGAAUCAUAUGAAAAUCCUAUAGGAUCAGCUGAUGGCUUGAAAAACCAAUGAAUGAAUUGGAUACUAUCAAUAACAACAGCAACAAUAAUUUUCAAUCGAUAAUUAUUAUCAAUUUCUGCUGAUAUAAAAUGAUGUGGUGGUGUAAAUCAUCGAAUUUCAAUGAUUU